UACGAAGGGGGCUAGCGUUGCUCGGAAUUACUGGGCGUAAAGGGAGCGUAGGCGGAUAGUUUAGUCAGAGGUGAAAGCCCAGGGCUCAACCUUGGAAUUGCCUUUGAUACUGGCUAUCUUGAGUACGGAAGAGGUAUGUGGAACUCCGAGUGUAGAGAUGAAAUUCGUAGAUAUUCGCAAGAACACCAGUGGCGAAGGCGGCUCACUGGCCCGAUACUGACGCUGAGGCACGAAAGCGUGGGGAGCAAACAGG
rnacentral:rRNA from 1 species